AGCAGUUCUGUAAGUAAGUGUGGCAAAAGAGUCAUGCCAUACCCCACUCAAUAAGUCUCCGGCGUACCGAGCGGUAACAUGACUCUUCAAAUAACUGAGCUUAUGUACACGGAGAAACCCAACCCCUUGGGAGGACGGGUGAUAUGGCUAAAUUGAAAGGA
rnacentral:ribozyme from 1 species